rnacentral:rRNA from 1 species
UGACAAGCGUUGUCCGGAUUUACUGGGCGUAAAGAGCGCGCAGGCGGUCGAUCAAGUCGAGUGUGAAAGCCCCCGGCUCAACUGGGGAGGGUCAUUCGAUACUGAUCGACUCGAAGGCAGGAGAGGGUAGUGGAAUUCCCGGUGUAGUGGUGAAAUGCGUAGAUAUCGGGAGGAACACCAGUGGCGAAGGCGACUACCUGGCCUGUUCUUGACGCUGAGGCGCGAAAGCUAGGGGAGCAAACGGG